rnacentral:rRNA from 1 species
GACGAACGCUGGCGGCGUGCUUAACACAUGCAAGUCGAACGAUGAAACCUAGCUUGCUAGGUCGAUUAGUGGCGAACGGGUGAGUAACACGUGACUAACCUGCCCCUUUCUCUGGGAUAACGCUCCGAAGGGAGUGCUAAUACCGGAUACUCACAUCGAGGCACAUGCCUUGAUGUGGAAAGUUUUUCGGAAAGGGAUGGAGUCGCGGCCUAUCAGCUUGUUGGUGAGGUAACGGCUCACCAAGGCGACGACGGGUAGCCGGCCUGAGAGGGCGACCGGCCACACUGGGACUGAGACACGGCCCAGACUCCUACGGGAGGCAGCAGUGGGGAAUAUUGCACAAUGGGCGCAAGCCUGAUGCAGCGACGCCGCGUGAGGGAUGAAGGUCUUCGGAUUGUAAACCUCUUUCAGUAGGGACGAAGCGAAAGUGACGGUACCUAAAGAAGAAGCACCGGCUAACUACGUGCCGGCAGCCGCCGUAA